rnacentral:lncRNA from 1 species
AGCAUUUUGUGGAAUAUGUGGCAACAUUUUCCAGAAACUCUCUUCCUGAGCUAAGCAAAAUACUGCAGAGGUGCUAAUCAGCACUUCUUGGAAAAGAAGAAUGGCCUAGUGUCAAAGAUGCAAAGCUGAAGGAUAUCAGUUCCAUUGUACAGUUGAGCCUGCCUGACUGCUUCUUGCUGAAGGUCAUUUCUGAGAUGGAGAACAGUCCCAAAGUGAAUGGGAUGGAGAUGAUGAACACAAAACAGCUUUUAUAAGCCAUAAGC